ensembl:lncRNA
CCUUCAUAUGCCAGUCAUACUCUUUGUAUGUCUUGCUUAGUAGCUACUUCACAUGUUCACUUGUAUCUAGAGAUGUAUGGAUGAUCGCACCGGUUUCAAAUCACAGCAUUCUCCCACUACAGAAAUUCAUGAGCUUAGCAGCAUGGGAUAAAGUACACUGAGUCAGCAGCGGUGAAAGUAUUUAAGGGCUGGGUGCAUCAGACAAACUUACAGAUGAACUUCCUGAAAUAAGAGAGAAGACUCCUACUAUCCCCUAAGAGAUUCUGAGUUAAGAUGAAACCCCAAGUUAUAAUCUUUAUUUACUUAGGAGGACUCAUAUUACACUUCGUGAAAUGUUACAGCAGUGGCAAUUUUGACGCUUAUCCAGCUAUAUGUCAGACAAUGGAAGUUGUUCACAGCACCUAUCUACCUCAGAACACUGAACCACCUUUUAAAGUUAUCCCAGAUAUGAUCAGAGUUAAUUCUUCAGAUGUGGGAAAAUCCUUUAAUGUAACACUGAAAGCUGAUGGCUAUGAAUCAUUCCGUGGUUUUUUGUUGAAAGCACAAAAACCAGACAAAACAACACCUCAGGGGAUUUUUUCUUUGGUGGAUACAAGCUUAAGCAGACUUCAGACAUGUAAUGGUAUGAAGGAUACAGCUGUAACGCAAACAAAUAACCGAAAAAAGGCUGAAAUAAUGGUCAAAUGGAAUGUUUCUGAAACCGGAGAUUAUUUUUUCAGGGCUACAUUCGUUAAGACAUAUGAAAUAUUCUGGAUCAUAAGAAAUCUCUUCUUCAAUCACGACACCAUCCUUUACAACAGACCUUGUAACAUCAGACCCUGUAACAUCAGACCUUGUAACACCAGGCCCAGUAACACCAGAUCCUGUAACACCAGACCCUGUAACACCAGGCCCAGUAACACCAGACCCUGUAACACCAGACCCUGUAACAACAACCACCAUAACAAUAUCAACAUCAGCAAAAUUAUCCUCAGUCACCAAAACUGAUCCACCGCACAAAUAUUUGGUUGAAUCAUCGCUAACUCUACAUUUGCUCAGUUAUCUUUGUCUUGCUGUGUGUGGUCCUUUCCUAGCGAAAGCCUGUGUAUGUGUUUGGACAAAGGUGACAUCAUUUCUGUCUUUGGCAUUUUCAUUGGCUGCUUUCAUCCUCUUACUGAUAGACAACAAACAAGUUGAGGCUGAAAUUCUGGCAGGAGUAGCAGCAGGCCUCAACUUGUGUCAAACCAUUCUAAUAUUCUUUCUCUGUGGACCGUGCCAUGAAUUUUGCUACAAUAUAUGUUGGUCUUGUGGAGCACUGCUCCAAACCACGCCGCUUCUGGCCCGUCAUAUUGAUGGGAGUUUAUUUAGCAUGCCAAUUGCUGUCAUGUCCCUUUUUUAUAUAUGGGGAACUAAAAGAAAAGCAGCAACGACAAACUACAUCAAGCAAUCAGAAUUGCAGGGUUUCUUGCUGGUGUACGUGUUUGGUCAUUUUUACUGGGAUGAAUUUAGCAUUUACUGUAGCACUG